rnacentral:tRNA from 2 species
UCUGGUUUAGUUCAGUUGGUAGAACGCUUGCCUUGUAAGCAAGAUGUCGGGAGUUCGAGUCUCUCAAUCAGAA